CAUGACGAGAUCUCAUGUGAGAUUGACGUGAUUGGGUGUAGUAGAGGAAUUAGAAGACUAACUACUAGAAGUUAAAGUCACUCUGUAGUUUAGGGGAUUCACAAGAUCCAAAUGUGCGGAUGAGGCGAAAAUGAUAAAAAAAUGACGAAGUGGCAAUGUUCCGUCUUCCGAUGGAAAUUAAAACAUUUCUUAUAAUAAUCGGAGAAAUCUUACUCUUCACUGACACGGUGGCUGCAACGUCCUCUACGAGAGGAUUCAGUUCCUAGUUCGCUGGUCUGCCGCAGCUCGACGUACUGUCCUUAUUAAAAAUGUAAUUCGAAAAUACAACAACAUCAACAACAAUCAACGAUUAAAUAUGAAUUUUAAUAAUCAAUAUGUAAUUUUAUAAUGCUAUUGUAAUUUAGUAAUUAAUUUAUUAAUGUUGAUAAGUUAUAUUAGGUUUUCUUAGAUUGUAAUUCAUUUAAUGUGGUUUUGACAACACUUGUAUUGACUGACUGUUAUUUUGACAAAUUCGUGUAAUUUAAUAAUUAUUUUUUGUUAUUAUGAGAAACUGUUUUAUUCUUUAUUAAAAUAAAUUUCUUAUUGACUG
rnacentral:misc_RNA from 1 species